UCUAUUUUUUUUAAACUACAUAAUUGCACAACCAUAUACAUUGCCAACAUAUUCGUACCAUAUAACACCAACACUGCUAGGAAAAUGACAAAACAUAAACUAAUAUCAACUUCGAUAUAAAGUAACCAAAGAGAAUCCAGUGAUCACAUUGAUGGGUAAACGGGUACAUUCUGGAUUCUGCAGUGUAAAUAAAGCCUUUUAUUAAUAUUUAUGUGAUGAAAACAGCCUUUGUAGGAAGACUGACGCUGUAUGGGCCUUCCCCACUCCUUCAUGUCACGUCCACUCUUGACAACGGCUGUACAAAGCCAAACUCCUUUUUCAGUUUUUAUGUAACCCUUCACCAUCCUACUUUCAACUUCUAUCCCUUUUAUUUUAGGUACAGUACUUGAAGGCAAAAAUAAAAGCCUAAUGUUUCCUACAUAAGUGUAAUCCCCCUCACCUCACAGUUCUCUCUUUUGUUUCUACUUGCUACUUUUUUUAUAUAAAAUAUAUUAUUAUUGUGCCACCAAGAUCCA